UGUUGCAUUCCAGCUGGGAAUUCCCUAAAAUAUUGANNNNNNNNNNNNNNNNNNNNNNNNNNNNNNNNNNNNNNNNUCCCUUUCCUUCCCCCCCUUUCCCUUUCCUUCCCCCCCCUUUCCCUUUCCUUCCCCUCCUUUUUCUUUUCUAAAUUUUAUUUUAUUUUCUUUUUUUUGUGGCUCAAACCCUCUUUACCAGGUGGCCUCACUAAUUCCGUCUGUUCCUGCUCUCCUGGCUCCAGGAUGUGCCUCCAGGAAUGAAACGAGUGUGCAAAUUGUUGGAAAGCAUCCCAGGGGAGGCUAAUGGCUACCUCAUGGAUUGUACCAUGGAGCUGGAUUCCAGACAGAAACUCUCCCCUGACUGUGGUCUUUGGGCAGCAAAACCAAAGCAAAAUUCCAUGAUUUUGGAAAACCAUGGAAGCAAAGGAGCUGCACAGCCUUGCCCCAGAUGUGUUGCUGGAGAGUCUGGACACUUCAGUCAUAUCCUGGGCUUCUAGAAAUGGAGAGUUGGCAGAAGAGCAGCACUGCUUUCCUGUUUGGAUACUGGAGGUGCCCCUGUUCCCACUUGGAUCCUUGCAACACCCCUCCUCUAGUCUGGUUUGUGGUGCUCAGCACGCACCAAAUGGCUCUGGUAGCACUCGGUACACAAUUAGCAUCAUUUUUACACUUGAAAAAAAAUGCUUCUGCUCUUAAGGUAGCUCAGAAUAUGUUUGAAAAGGAAAAAGAAAAGGUUGGAUUAAUGUUUUGGAACUAAUUAAGUUGAUCUGGCCUUGGGCCUUGUCUUCACCUGGUCCUGGGCCAGAGGUCACAUUGAUGUCAGAGGUUUUCCUGGACACAUUCCCUGGCACUCUUGGAAAAUGCUUCUUUUACAGGGCCACAGGCAGAAACAGGAGGACACAAAUAUUUUGUUUUUUAAGUGGCUGCUCAGCUUUGCAGCUGAGAAGGCCAAUAAAAAUCCCCUUGAAGCUUAUAUUCA
rnacentral:lncRNA from 1 species